UACGAGGGGGGCAAAUGUUGUUCGGAAUCACUGGGCGUAAAGGGAGCGUAGGCGGGUUCUUAAGUAAAGUGUUUAAUCCCGGGGCCCAACCCCGGACCGGCAUUUUAAACUGGGAAGCUUGAAUAGUGGAGAGGUCGGUGGAAUUGGGGGUGUAGCGGUGAAAUGCGUAGAGAUCCCCAAGAACACCAGUUGCGAAGGCGGCCGACUGGACACAUACUGACGCUGAGGCGCGAAAGCAUGGGGAGCAAACAGG
rnacentral:rRNA from 1 species